rnacentral:rRNA from 1 species
UCCCCUACGGGAGGCAGCAGUGGGGAAUAUUGCACAAUGGGGGAAACCCUGAUGCAGCGACGCCGCGUGAGUGAAGAAGUAUUUCGGUAUGUAAAGCUCUAUCAGCAGGGAAGAAAAAAGACGGUACCUGACUAAGAAGCCCCGGCUAACUACGUGCCAGCAGCCGCGGUAAUACGUAGGGGGCAAGCGUUAUCCGGAUUUACUGGGUGUAAAGGGAGCGUAGACGGUGCGUCAAGUCUGAAGUGAAAGCCCGGGGCUUAACCCCUGGACUGCUUU